rnacentral:rRNA from 1 species
GACGAACGCUGGCGGCGUGCUUAACACAUGCAAGUCGAACGGAAAGGCCCUGCUUUUGUGGGGUGCUCGAGUGGCGAACGGGUGAGUAACACGUGAGUAACCUGCCCUUGACUUUGGGAUAACUUCAGGAAACUGGGGCUAAUACCGGAUAGGAGCUCCUGCUGCAUGGUGGGGGUUGGAAAGUUUCGGCGGUUGGGGAUGGACUCGCGGCUUAUCAGCUCGUUGGUGGGGUAGUGGCUUACCAAGGCUUUGACGGGUAGCCGGCCUGAGAGGGUGACCGGCCACAUUGGGACUGAGAUACGGCCCAGACUCCUAAGGGAGGCAGCAGUGGGGAAUAUUGCACAAUGGGCGGAAGCCUGAUGCAGCAACGCCGCGUGCGGGAUGACGGCCUUCGGGUUGUAAACCGCUUUCGCCUGUGACGAAGCGUGAGUGACGGUAAUGGGUAAAGAAGCACCGGCUAACUACGUG